GUUUGACCUUAAGAAGAAGAAAUGCAUUUUGUAAUCCAGUAGUUUUCAUUUCUUUUUUUACAUAACUACUGAUGAAACUCCAGUAUUUCCAGUGUUCCUCUUUUAUUUCAUUUGUUAAAUUUUGAAGUGAACGUCUGACAGCUCCGCAUCAGCAGUAUGAGUGGACUUAAAGUCCUGGUUGUCAUAAUCUGGAUGUUGAGAGGUGCUGCCAGCAACAAAUGGGAAAUUAAGAUGCCUAAGAAAAUAGACGCGAUAAGUGGCUUAUGUGUUCAAAUUCCAUGUCAGUUUGAGAUCCCCGACUCAUUCAAACAGUCCCUAAAACAAUCUUGUUGAAGGAAUUUGGAAAAAAAUAAGCGCAGAGGGGCCAAACGUACUUAGUUCAAAAAUGAAAGUGUCUCUUCUAAAAGGAAAUGUGACUGGCAACAUCUCGGACAAAAUUGCACCACUGUGUUCUACAGCUUUCCUGAUGGAUACAGUGAAACAUUUUUCUUCAGACUUCAGGGUCCUGAAACUCUCUUGUACACAUUUC